rnacentral:misc_RNA from 1 species
AACAUCGCGCACCUGCGGGAACCUGCGGAAGGAUCAUUGGAGAGGGGUAAUUUUUUUGUGGGGUGUGGAUGUUUGGGAGGGGAUUGAGGGUUGAUGGCAGAAGGAGGUACUAUGUUGUACUUCACCGUUGUAACCUUCGUCGCCUGCUAUCAACCCCCCUCCCAUAAAAAAGCUUCAAUACAAUACUGAACAUCAAUCAAUCACUUACAACUUUCAGCAAUGGAUCUCAGAUCGGAAGAG